GUUAACAUCUGAGGAAGCUCGGUGAACAACUCAGAAAAAUAAGGUUCUAACACGAGGAGCACUCCCCUAGCAGUGUGCAUCUGUGAUAUAAAGGGGAGGGGUUGGACUCUGGCUGGCUCCUCACCAAGCCCUGCAGAUGAGGACUCUCCUCCCUUGCCUCGGGCUGACCUGCCACACCCUUCCUUCUUCGGGCACAGCUCAAAGGCCGUUCCCUCCACCCAAGUCUUGCCUAUGUGCAUCAGCUGGCAGCGAGAGACCCACCUGGACAGCAGCCUUAAAGAAACAGGUCUAUUUGUGGGCUUUGAUGAAGAAGAAACGGCUGCCCGUAUUUUUAGCUCACAAAUCAACUUUUAAUUCUUCUCGUUCUACAAAUAGGAAGUAACAUUCCACAAAGUAGAAGCAAUAAAAAUUAAGAUGUUUUGAAGACAA
rnacentral:lncRNA from 1 species